rnacentral:rRNA from 1 species
GACGAACGCUGGCGGCGUGCCUAAUACAUGCAAGUAGAACGCUGAAGGAGGAGCUUGCUUCUCUGGAUGAGUUGCGAACGGGUGAGUAACGCGUAGGUAACCUGCCUGGUAGCGGGGGAUAACUAUUGGAAACGAUAGCUAAUACCGCAUAAGAGUAGAUGUUGCAUGACAUUUGCUUAAAAGGUGCAAUUGCAUCACUACCAGAUGGACCUGCGUUGUAUUAGCUAGUUGGUGGGGUAACGGCUCACCAAGGCGACGAUACAUAGCCGACCUGAGAGGGUGAUCGGCCACACUGGGACUGAGACACGGCCCAGACUCCUACGGGAGGCAGCAGUAGGGAAUCUUCGGCAAUGGACGGAAGUCUGACCGAGCAACGCCGCGUGAGUGAAGAAGGUUUUCGGAUCGUAAAGCUCUGUUGUAAGAGAAGAACGAUGUGUGAUGAUGUGGAAAGUUCACACUGUGAC